ACCGGGCAGCUUGACUCCACGCCCACCUGACUGGACUGGGAAAACCGAAGAAGUUAGUGAGGGUUCAGCAAUAAAUAGCAGGAGGAGCAGAAUUUGAAACAGCAGCAUACCGGUCCUGCGCCUGGUGAAGGAUGACUCGCCAGAAAGCAAAGGCGCAGCUUGGCGCGUGGCCCAGGAGGCUCCGCGAGCCCUUGUACGUAAGGAUCGUGGCGCCCACGCUUGGGAGCAGAGCUCAGUGCAAACUUCCAACAGUUCUUCCAGUUUCCAGGGAAACGAGAUUUGGAGCUGCUGCGCGUUGCAGAACUGCUUCUCUGCUCCCCACAUGGGACCCCUGUGGCUGGCUGGUCUUAGGGAGGAAGGAAUUGAAGCCAUCUCAUCCAUGAAGUAGAAUCAGAGAGAUGAUUCUCCAUGCCUGGCUUCUUUUGUUCCAUGUAUGUUUGUGAAGUGUGUUCAUGAUGCUGCACACAGCGAUACCUCACUCAUUGCUGAUAAUGAAGCCCUGUAGCUUACCCAUUUCACUGCAGUAAAUAACAUAUUGCUUCUUGUUUGUGUGUCCUGAAUCAUGAAGAUGUGCAGUUGAGUAAUCUGGGGGUGAAACUGCCCUGUCUGAUUAAUACCAUCUUUACUUUCAUUUGCCUGUUUCCCAUUGAGGUGCGAUUUAUGUACAAUAAGAACCAUUGAUUUUUAACAAUUCCAUGAGUUUGGACAGUUGCCUACAUUUAUACAAAUGACCACCUCAGGACUCACUGCCAUUCCAGCUUCUGCAAAUGCUAAGCUCAGCUUUUCCCCACACCAGGUCCGUGUGCUAUAGGUUUUAUUAUAGCAUUUCCUAUGCGUGGUUGCAUGUAGUGGACAAUCUUUUCUGCCUGGUUUCAGUGCCUUUCAGAUUUGUCCAAACUCUUGCAUGAAUCGAUUGAAUGUACUUAUUGCUGAAUAGAAUUCUAGUAAAAAGUGUUUAUCCAUUCACGACAUGAUGGACAUUCCAACUUUUUCUAUGGUGUGACUGAGCUACUACUCAAACAUGGUAUCAUGCAGGCUUAAGUCAUUAUGGGUGUGUUUCCAACUCCUUAGGUCUGCAGUAGGAGUGGGAUUGCUGGCUUGCACCACACAGUUACAUUUAUCUUUCAAGAAAAGAGAAGAUUGUUAACUAGAAUCAUUUUUAACUCCCCCAUGUGUUCACUCCUGGGUUGUGUUCUUAGCGACACCGGGUGCUGUCAGCUUCCCUAGUGUGUUGGCCAGCCGGGCAUCCAUAUAUAGCUUCUCACUGUGGCUUUAGUUUGCAUUGUUCAGUUAUGAAUACUAUCAACACUUUCACUUAUCUUCAGUAAAGCACACACACACACACACACACACACACACACACACACAGAUACCCUCUGUUAGCUUUUUAAAAAAUCAUGUGGUCUCUAUCUAAUUAUCAUUUUAUCAACAGUGAAUAGAAGCAUGACUAGUUAUUUGGCAUACACUGGCCCUGUGGAUUCUCCUGCAAUGGUCCAAGCACAAGCACGAAUUAUACUUUAUACAGCCUGAUCUCUUAAAAACCCAUCACUGUUCAAGCUGUAAGUUCAGCUAGACAACCAUAACUUCUCCAGUGCGGGUCUAGAUUUGUGCCACAGAAGGACAUCACAGUCUUAUAAUGUUCAUAGCUCCAGAGAGUUCUGCCAAAUAUGCAGCUGCCUUGGGAAAGACUUUUUUUUUAAGUGUACACGGGACAGCAUGAUUCUAAUAAACAUCUGCACUGUAGUGGUUCUGGGCAUCCUAUUGUGGGAUUUGGAGCUCAGAUACUAGUUUGCUUGAAAUAGAUAGGGAGUCUGACUCAGAAGCACUGUCUUGAAGGGGUCUUUGGAGAUUGAAGUCUUGGUGAAGCUGGCCAUGCCAAAGUAAAAAUAACUGAUAUAAGCCACCAUAAGCAACCAUUUUCUAUCUUUACCUUUUAACUGUUUUCUGAAAUUGUAUCAAGUUUAAAAAAAUGUAUAUUCUGUCUCUCCCAACCCCUUGCUCAGUGGCUCUGGGUGAUGGCUUGUGAUUUGCUUAGCAGGAGAAUUUAUACCACAGAAAUAAGCAAGCAAUGCAAAUCUGGCUGGGGUUGCUUCUUUAGCUUACUUAUAAAGUGAAGGGCAAUAUGAGCGAUGCAGACUAUGGAUGGACACCAGACUGCGGCUGUAGCUACCAUUUUAAAUUCCGAACACAUUUCUUCUCGUGUUUUGGGAGCCAUCACCUGUGCAGUAAUAGUAUGCACAUUGUACAUCUCUAAUGAAAGUCAUUUCAACAUGAUUCCCUCUUGUCCUCCCUGGAACUCAUUAACUUACGUGAAAACAGCACACAACAUCCAAAUCACAGCAGCACCCUCUUGUCAGCGACGGGAGCAAGCAUUCUGCUGAGUCAGAUGUAAUCAGGGUUUAUUCAUGUCCUAAUUUUGCAAUACUGUUGUCAGUGAGAGUUACAAAAACAGUGGAUUUUGCAAGAAAUAGCAAGUCACACUGAAGUUAUAAAAUAAAAAGCAGAUAAGUGCUCUCAUUUAAAAUGUUAUUUCCAAACUUGUAUAAGAAAAUGCUAAUGAAAUAUUUUCAAUUUUUAAAAUUGCAUUUAUUUGCUCAUUGUGCUGUGCAUUCGAGUGUGGGAAUGCAAGUGUAGUGGGGAAGUUGUAGAGGUCCGAGGACAACUGAGAACACUUGAUUCUCUCCUUCUACUUUGUGGGUCCAAGGGACCAAAUUAAGGUCAUCGGUACCUUUACCUGCUGAGCCAUUUCACUGGCUCAUUAAAUUGCUAAUAAAAAAUUUAUGUUAGCUCAAGUAAUGGCAUGGAUUUAAUAAGGUUAUAGAACCAUUUUUCAUAUUUUGAUCCGCCAAAACAAUUCUUUCUCACAUUAUUUUACAUGUGAAACAAGUGACAACAGAUACAGGAAAGAAUCAUGUGACCUCUGUUCCUCUGGCUGCUCAUUUUCUAAGGAUUUAGCAGACCACCUCAAUGCUCUGAGUGUCUGGGAAUAAUUAGCAGGGAAGGCAUGGCUCCUGCUUUUUGAAACAGUUUUGCGGGAGAGAAAAACAUGCUUCAGGUAGCUAAGGAAGUGCCUUACUACAUGCUAAGGUCUAGCACAACAAACAUGGGUUUGUGAGAAGGGAUGUUGCCUUAAAUGGGGUCAAGCAGAUGCAGACAAGGCUCAGCCUUGAUCUUCCUCCUCUGUCACCCAGUCUCAUAAAUAUAAGAAACAAACUACUUACUGAUAGCUCCCAAACUUAUGGUUCACUUCAAACCUUUCCCUGGAACCCCAGGUUAGAUUUCAGCCUCCUGUCUUCAUCAAUGAUAUCAAGGCCUCAUUUUAGCACAUUGAAUUUUUCUUUGUAUCUCAUCUUCAAACGAAGACAGGACUCACCCCAACCCCUACACUCAGUUGACAGAAACCCACUCUUGCAGCUGCUUUGCUAAAAUUGUAGAGUUGUCCUCGUUGUCCACACCAGGCCCUAUCCAAUAGCAGCCGGAUGGGAAGCAACUGUUCUGGAGCCACUGGCACCUAUAUUUCCUCUCUAUGCCUAAUGUCAUCUUUCCAGACCUCAAGGAACAGCCAACCUUUGAAGUGAGAGUCACAGCAGCUGCUACUCAAAAUGUUUUUGGUCUUCUUCAGAGUGAACAAAAGCAAUUUUGUGAGGUUACUCCCUUGUCUCCCUACUCUCUGACUCACUUUACUCACUUUAUCCUACUACCUAUGUUCAGGGAACCUGCAGGGACCUAAGCUUCCUGUCUUUUUUCUCAGAUCUGUUUUCUCAUAAAAAGUUAACUAUUUGACCAUUGAGCCUCAGGGAUCCAAAGACAGGGACCUGUUUGUUCAUUUAUUGUUCUCAGUGCCAAGAACAGCAUCUGGCACAGGGUAGAUGGUCCAUGAAUAUUUGUGUAGCUAGUUUUCAAAAUUUACUCGAUUAAAGAUUAAAGAAUGUAAACUA
rnacentral:lncRNA from 1 species